GUCUUUUAGAAUUAAAUUAAAAGUCUAACCUGCCCAUUGAAUAUAUUAAAAGGCUGCGGUAUUUUGACCGUACAAAGGUAGCAUAAUCAUUAGUUUUUUAAUUGAAAACUUGUAUGAAUGGUUGAAUGAGAUAUUAACUGUUUUAAUAAAAAUAUAGAAUUUUACUUUUUAAUUAAAAGGUUAAAAUAAAAUUAAAAGACGAGAAGACCCUAUAGAUUUUUAUAUUUAUAAUAUUAUGAAAUUAAAGUUUAUUAUUUUUUUAAUAAAAUUAAAUAUUUUAUUGGGGUGAUAGUAAAAUUUAAAAAACUUUUAUUAAAAAUUUAACAUUAAUUUAUGAUAAAUUGAUCCAAAUAUUUUGAUUAUAAGAUUAAAUUACCUUAGGGAUAACAGCGUAAUUUUUUUUUAAGUUCUUAUUAAUAAAAAAGUUUGCGACCUCGAUGUUGGAUUAAGAUUAAUUUUAGGUGCAGAAGUUUAAAAUUUAAGUCUGUUCGACUUUUAAAUUCUU
rnacentral:rRNA from 1 species